GGUUGUAUCUGCAGGGUGACAUCGGGCUGUCACCUUAACUCUGCCCACAAUGUUGUCACCUAAACUCUGCCUGCAGAACUGUCACCGUAACUCUGCCCAUGGUGCUGUCACUGUAACUGCCCACAACACUGUCCCCUUAACUCUGCUCACAAAGUCAUCACCUUAACUCUGCCCACAGCACCAUCACCUUAAUUCCGCCCACAACAUUGUCCCCUUAACUCUGCCCACAGCACCAUCACCUUAACUCUGACCACAACAUUGUCCCCUUAACUCUGCCCACAACACUGUCACGUUGACUCUACCCACAGUGCCAUCACCUUUACUCUGCCCAUAGCACUAUCGCCUUAACUCUGCCCACAAGGGCAGCAGCAGCCUUGGGAGCACCCAAAGGCCCCCAGUACUCACUUGGCCGCAGGUGCAGGGUGAGGAGGAGCACGUUGAGGACUACCGAGACACUCAGGGCCACAGUGGUGGCCAGCACCUGCCUGGACCCAGAGCAGCUGGGUGGGAGAGCCCGGAUCCCCCGUCUGGAAGUGCUGCGGUGUCGGGCCACGCUGGAGCCGCAGCUCUUGGCCAGGGCGGGUGGCUCGGGGACUUGGGGGAGGCUUGGUGCGGCACCCGGAGGGUCCAAGGGCUGGGACUGGCCAGCCCCUGGUGAUACCAAAGUGACAGCAGGGUGCUGGGAGGCGGCUGAUGCCAGUAACACCAAGCUGACACCAGGGUGCUGGGACACCCCUAACACCAAAUGGACACCAAGGCGCGCUCUGUGCUGCUGCAGAGCCCAGAGCAACUCAUGACACGAGUGGGCCGCAGGGACGCCGUCGCCCCAGCGCACGCUGACGCCAGCCUCGAAGCUUUUAUUGCGGCAAGACGGGCACUGCAAGAUUCCUUUUAAAUAAUAAUAAUAAUAACAACAACAACAAUAAAAAAUAUACAGCAGUCGUUUUCUCCCUCGAA
rnacentral:lncRNA from 1 species